rnacentral:lncRNA from 1 species
CUGCUUUCUUAUGUAAUACACACAAAUAAGGAAAAUACAAAGAAAAUAAAAACUACCGACUGAUUACAAUACCAAGAGAAAACAACCAUUGACAGUGGAGCAUUUUCAUUUUAAGACGCAGAAUACACGUACUAAGGGCACUAAUAUUAAAUAUGUAAAAUACUGCCUUUUAACCUGCUUUUCUCACUUAAUAUUUCUAAACAUUGUUAGUGACUUCCCACACAUUUUUUGGUUUUAGUUGUUUUGGUUUAUUUUUUUUCCAAUUCUUAUUAUAAGAAUACAGAGAAGUAUGUACAAAACAUGGACCCUACCUUUAGGCUCCUUAUUCAACA